rnacentral:ncRNA from 2 species
UAACCAUCCAGAGCGGCUGAGAGACCUGGCUCCGUGACGCCGCAGCAACCCUUCUUCCGCGGGCAUACCCGCCGAAGAAGGGUGCUACCGCCAGGACCGAUGGAGA